GGACAGGAAGCUCUGAUUCGUGCUUCAACAGAGAAGCCUGGAAAUCCACAGAUAACAAGCCGCUCACUGUGCUAUCAGGGCAGUCAGAUCAGGUUUGGCAGAACCAUCUCGGUCUGUGCUUCCACCAAAACCGAAUCAGGAUGUAUCAGCAGCAAAAAACAAGCUUCUGCAGUUCAUGUGCUGGAUUUCUCAACCAUCAACCCUGCGGAAGAAAUGAAACGCAUUGUUCCUGUUAUCAUCUGCAACACGGGGAAGAGGAAACUAUAAUACUGUCUGAUGAUGACAAUUCUCAAUAUACAGGAGAUGUUGCACAAGAAUAUGGGAUACAGCAUCCUAAUGAAAUAGACUUUGGAAUCUUCAGCGAAGAGGCAGCGGGAGUCCAUGUACACGCCGCAGCAGACAGAUAUCUUAACACUUCCGAUGGAUUGACUGGUCAGAUGAUCUCAAGAUGGCAGAAUUCAGGCAGCCAGAUUACAGACGAUUGUGGCUGUUUUUGCAGGCAAACACCGUGUUGUGAAGCAGCUGGGGUGAUAGAUCACUGGACCUGCUCCCCUGGUCAUCCUUGGCAUGUGAAGAACGCACAGUUGGUGGGGGUUGAAGUUGACAUAGUUGAAGAACUGGAACUGGAAGACACAGUGGUACUUCAUGAGGCCGUCAUGCCAGUGAAUGGUUUGACGGAGGCCACAAUGACACAUGAGGACCAGUUUUUCUUUCAAUAGAUUUAUAGCAUUUUGUUCUUAUGUAUAAUAAUCAACUUUAUAUAUAGGUUUAUUUACAAAUAUUAUGUUGGAAUAUGUUGGAAAUAAAUAUUAGCAUUUAAAAUAUAUAAACA
rnacentral:lncRNA from 1 species